UACGAAGGGUGCAAGCGUUAAUCGGAAUUACUGGGCGUAAAGGGUGCGUAGGCGGCCUGACAAGUCUGAUGUGAAAUCCCUGGGCUCAACCCAGGGCCUGCAUCGGAAACUGUCGGGCUUGAGUAUGGGAGAGGUGAGUGGAAUUUCCGGUGUAGCGGUGAAAUGCGUAGAUAUCGGAAGGAACACCUGUGGCGAAAGCGGCUCACUGGACCAUUACUGACGCUGAGGCACGAAAGCUAGGGGAGCAAACAGG
rnacentral:rRNA from 1 species